GGCAUGGUGGCGCCAUGGUUAGCAUUGAUGCCUCACAAUAAGGAGGUUCUGGGUUCAAAUCCUAGCCAGCCA